rnacentral:rRNA from 1 species
AUGACGUCAAGUCAGUAUGGCCCUUACGGCCAGGGCUGCACACGUACUACAAUGCCCGGCACAAAGGGAAGCAAUACCGUAAGGUGGAGCAAAUCCCAAAACCGGGCCCAGUUCAGAUUGCCGUCUGCAACUCGACGGCAUGAAGCUGGAAUCGCUAGUAAUGGCGCAUCAGCUACGGCGCCGUGAAUACGUUCCCAGGCCUU